UAAAACAGUUUGAUUUUCUCCUUUACAACUUGAGUUGAGAGUUUUUUUAAUAUAUAUAUUGUUUUUAUACUGAAAGAAGUCUAUAAUUGGUAUCUGGUACAAAUUGGUUUACUAUCACUAAUAAAUGAGGUAACGAGACUUGUUAAACAUGUACUCUACAGAUAAUCCUUAUCGCGAGCACUCAGCUGUGAGUCAGUGCGAAUAAAACAGCUAGCGUGUUAAAAAUGGGUCUAGAGCUUAUUUUGUUGUGUGUAUUAUGUUAUGUACUAUACUUAGUAUUUUUUAAUUUUACGAAAGAUCGUGAUAAAUUAAGAGAUGAGCUUGAAUGGCGCAGAGAAAAUGAACAAAAGUUGAGAGAUGAUAUCAGAAAAGAAGAAGUAAAACUUAACUUUCUUAAAUAUCAUAAGCAUAUGGAGGAAAAAGAAAAACAGCUUACGUCGGAGAUAGCACACAAAGAUCAGCUAAUUCAUAAUAUGGAAAUCCAAAUGGAAAACGAAAACAAAGGAACUAUUGGAAAAUUAUGGAAUUAUUGCAAAUCACCUUUCAGUAAAAUAGACAAUUCAGCCAAGGAGCUAGGAGCUAAAUAGUCAUUCUUCGGAGUCAGUCUACACUGCAAUCUCUUUGGCUGACCUUUGACCUUUCUGUUGCAUUCUUCGUUCGUGUAUAUAUGCAAUAAAGAUUUUAUAGCUUGUGUUUUUA